UACGAAGAGGGCUAGCGUUGCUCGGAAUGACUGGGCGUAAAGGGCGCGUAGGCGGAUUGUCCAGUCAGGCGUGAAAUUCCCGGGCUCAACCUGGGGGCUGCGCUUGAGACGUGCGAUCUUGAGUGGGGAAGAGGGUCGUGGAAUUCCCAGUGUAGAGGUGAAAUUCGUAGAUAUUGGGAAGAACACCGGUGGCGAAGGCGGCGACCUGGUCCUUGACUGACGCUGAGGCGCGAAAGCGUGGGGAGCAAACAGG
rnacentral:rRNA from 1 species